rnacentral:rRNA from 1 species
CAGCAGCCGCGGUAUACGAAGGGUGCAAGCGUUACUCGGAAUUACUGGGCGUAAAGCGUGCGUAGUGGUUCGUUAAGUCUGAUGUGAAAGCCCUGGGCUCAACCUGGGAACUGCAUUGGAUACUGGCGAUCUGGAGUGCGGUAAGGGUACGGAAUUCCCGGUGUACAGUGAAAUGCGUAAUAUCGGGAGGAACAUCCGUGGCGAAGCGGCUACCUGGACCAGCACUGACACUGAGGCACGAAAGCGUGGGGAGCAAACAGGAUUAAUACCCUGGUA